rnacentral:rRNA from 1 species
AUUGAACGCUGGCGGAAUGCUUUACACAUGCAAGUCGAACGGUAGAGGGGGCAACCCCUCGAGAGUGGCGAACGGGUGAGUAAUAUAUCGGAACGUGCCCAGUCGUGGGGGAUAACGUAGCGAAAGUUACGCUAAUACCGCAUACGAUCUAAGGAUGAAAGCGGGGGAUCGCAAGACCUCGCGCGAUUGGAGCGGCCGAUACCAGAUUAGGUAGUUGGUGGGGUAAAGGCUCACCAAGCCAACGAUCUGUAGCUGGCCUGAGAGGACGACCAGCCACACUGGAACUGAGACACGGUCCAGACUCCUACGGGAGGCAGCAGUGGGGAAUUUUGGACAAUGGACGCAAGUCUGAUCCAGCCAUUCCGCGUGCAGGAUGAAGGCCCUCGAGUUGUAAACUGCUUUUGUACGGAACGAAAAGGUCUCUCUUAAUACGGGGGGCUCAUGACGGUACCGUAAGAAUAAGCACCGGCUAACUACGUGCCAGCAGCCGCGGUAA